GGAUGCUGUUCAUUUUCGGGUCUUGAGUGUGCAGAGGGAGAUUUUGUAUAAUUGUGCUGUAUGCUUCGUUGUUUCUGGGGUUCUUGGUUGAUAUGUAUGGGAGUGAUUUAAGGUGAGGUGUGGUGUUUUGUUUUGUUGUUCUUACUGUUUG